CGGGUGAGUAACGCGUGGGUAACCUGCCUCAUACAGGGGGAUAACAGUUAGAAAUGACUGCUAAUACCGCAUAAGACCACAGCACCGCAUGGUGCAGGGGUAAAAACUCCGGUGGUAUGAGAUGGACCCGCGUCUGAUUAGGUAGUUGGUGGGGUAACGGCCUACCAAGCCGACGAUCAGUAGCCGACCUGAGAGGGUGACCGGCCACAUUGGGACUGAGACACGGCCCAAACUCCUACGGGAGGCAGCAGUGGGGAAUAUUGCACAAUGGGGGAAACCCUGAUGCAGCGACGCCGCGUGAGCGAUGAAGUAUUUCGGUAUGUAAAGCUCUAUCAGCAGGGAAGAAAAUGACGGUACCUGACUAAGAAGCACCGGCUAAAUACGUGCCAGCAGCCGCGGUAAUACGUAUGGUGCAAGCGUUAUCCGGAUUUACUGGGUGUAAAGGGAGCGUAGACGGAGUGGCAAGUCUGAUGUGAAAACCUGGGGCUCAACCCCGGGACUGCAUUGGAAACUGUCAAUCUAGAGUACCGGAGA
rnacentral:rRNA from 1 species